UACCAGCACCCCGAGUGGUCGGGACGUUUAUUGGGCGUAAAGAGCGCGUAGGCGGUCCGAUAAGUCGGCUGUGAAAGUCCAGGGCUCAACCCUGGAAAGCCGGCCGAUACUGUCGGACUAGAGUCCGGAAGAGGCGAGUGGAAUUCCCGGUGUAGCGGUGAAAUGCGCAGAUAUCGGGAGGAACACCAAUGGCGAAGGCAGCUCGCUGGGACGGUACUGACGCUGAGGCGCGAAAGCGUGGGGAGCAAACAGG
rnacentral:rRNA from 1 species